AGUGAGUCGGCUAGCGAGCGAGCGAGUCGAGUAGCGUGUGUGAUUCUCCCGGUAGUUCGUGAACAGUAGACUCUCUGGUUCUACUUCCGGGCUUCGGAGCUCCGGACCGGUCUGCACAUUUGGCGACCGUGACCGGUAAUUUCUUGUUAACCUUUUAAAACGAGAAAUUAUAAAAAAAAAAAAGUCGAACCGUAAAAGAGAAAUUUUUUCUCGAUCACACAAACGCCAUUUUUUCUUAGAAUUGGUUCGUGGUUUGCGCCUUCGAAACCAGCAAAUCUAGACAUUUCCGCUAUCAUUCUGGCCGGAUAAGGAUCACAAUUUACCUAUACGGUAAUGCUGAUACUGACAAAAAAGCGAAGUUCCCCAGUGGCAGCACAAAAUGGCUUAUGGACAGGAUAGACUUCAAAGACAAACCCGAAUCGAACGGAUUGGUGGCCAUCUAGUACCGGAAGAUGGCAAAAAAAAUUAUCCGUAUCCCAGGGACUGGUGUGAAGAAGGGGCUAAAAAGUCACCGGUGUUGUGUUUUAGUGCAUGUAGAAAAUUUAGCAUGUGAAAAGUGAGUUCUUUGAAAACAAUCCAAAAAUUUAAAUAAAAAA